GUGAGCGAAAGGAUGGAACGCCAGGAAUGGAUUCUUCUCUCCCCCCCCGCCGCCGCCGCGAGCUCCCCUUCCUUUCCUUCCCUCCCUUCCUUCCUUCCCUGCUUUGUAGCGGGAUUUGCAACAUCGGUGGUUUGUGUUUAGAACGUUGACAGUGAAAGUGAGAGCUCGGGGGAGGCGGCGAGUGCGGAGGGCGCGAGAAAGAUCCGUAGCAAAGUUGCCAGAUCUUGGCAGUCGCUGCUAAACUCAAAGGGGUGGGAAGGUGCGGAAAGAAAAGGUUGGCGGAGAUUUGCGCGGCGGGGCUGCCUGAGGGAGAGAAGGAGAGCAAAGCGAAAUCUCCCCCCGCCCACCCCCGAACAUAUCCCGGGCUUUGGAUUUUCUUCCUAUCUAUCUAUCUGUCUAUCUAUUUUAGCCCCUCUCUUCUAACUGCGUAAAGAACGGAAUGCUUCAUAUUUGCCCACCACACACACACCAUUGGCCGGGGCGUGGGGGAGGGAAUAGCAAAGGCCUGAUGUCUUCCUAGGUAUGGAGGAGGGAGAGGAAGUGUUGCAGGAAAGUAAUGCAGAAAUAUGAGAUCAAAGUGAUUUCUUGGGGAGGGGAGGGGAGAUGCAAGUCUGCUCUCCCCCUCCCCCCGCCCCGAAAAUCAGUGCGGAAUUGUCAAAAGCUAUGUGAAAAGGGGUGGGGGGGAGACAGUCCUAGAGUUAUUGCGGUCUUCAUUUAUAUCAAUUAGGUGUGUGGUUCUGUUAUUGGGGCGGGCGGGAAUAGGAGAAAGAGACAGACACCCCCCCCCAUCACUAGCCUGUUGCCAGCCCUCUCUUUCAGAGCGCUGCAAGGUGGUUAUUCUCUUCAGGUCUCUUCCUUCUGCGCCCCCCUGCCAAAAUGUAGGCUAGCCGUGGGAUGUGGGGGUUUCUGAAAGGGGCUGCACCAGCUCCCUCCUUCCCUCCCCCCUUCCUCUUUCCCCGUCCACAGACAAACCAGAGCUAGCGGUUGUUAAAACUGGCCUUGAUUCUGAAUCAUUGAGGGCCACACUUUGUACUACUGAUAGGUGGGGGAGAUGUGGUGGGGGGAGGGGGCAAAGGAAAAGGGAGAUUUUUUUGGUUAAGAUACUGCUUUUUCUUUUGAGAUUUUUUUUUUAAAAAACUAGUUCAGCUUCCCCCCCCCCCCAGCUCAUACUCAGCUGCCUUUCUGCCUUUUCUUGGAUCCAAAGUCUAUAGGGCAGAUUAAAGUCUGGGUUGAUUCCUUUCCUAGACUCACUUCUUGUUCUAGGAAACCCCCAAUCCACUUAUUCCUUCCCACCACACACUCUCCCCCUCCCUUCCCCACCGUCCCCUUGCUUUAAAAUUUUUUGCUCUGCUAUUGUUGAAGAGUGGACACUUCGCCAUCUCUGAAGGAUCUUCUGGUGUUGGAUUGUACACUUUGCUCCUGGUCUCCAGUUCCCCCUGUUUGCCACCUGACCCCAGCUGUUGGCUCUGCCUGCCUUCUGCCCAUCCUGCUGACCUGAUCCUGUCUGCCUGGGAUAUCUGUUUUUGACUCUCUGCCUGCCUGUCCUGAGUGCCUGGUUCUAGCUCUGCCUUCUUGUCUGCCUGGCUGGAGCUUCAGUCCUAUUCCUGCAAAAUCUCUGCAUGCUCAUAGCUCAACAUGUUUCUGCCAUGUUUUUAAAUGUUUUAUAUACAUUUGGAGUUGACCCUGUCUGAUGAGUUAGAUCCUACCAGCUGUCUCUUGAUGGUUUGUUGGUAACUCUAAUCUUGAGUGUUUUGCUGAAAUUGGAGAUUGAAAGAAAUUUUGGAGGGUCCUACUUGGUGAAACUUCCUUCUCUCUAGCAACACACGGAACCCUCUGGAUGAUCUGAAUAAUCUGGCCUAUCCUUGGGCUGGCUAAUUUAUGUAUGUAUUUUAUAUCACACCCUUCCUCCAUGCUGGAACCCAAGGUAGCAUACAUGGGGGGUUCCAUGGCAGUCUUCCAUCCAGGCACUGGCCAGAUCCAGGUCCCAGACCUGCUUAGCUUCAUCAAGGUUGCUGCUUUACAUGCUUUUCAUGCCUUCAGGCCCGUCUGCAUUUUGCUACCUUUAUUGUCCCAGUUCUGUGACUUAAGCUGAGACUCUUUUUUAUGUUUUAAGAUUCCUUUGAUUUUUAUGGGUAUUUAAUGAAAAUGCUAUAGAGAGGAGAUUAUCUCUGCUGAAUCGGACCAAAAGUCUGUUUAAUCCAGCUUCCAGGAAGCUCACAAGCAGAGCUUGAGACAACAGCCCUCUCAUGAGGGUGCCUCCCAGCAACUUGCACUCAGUGGUGUAUUGCCUCUAAGGCUGAUGGUUCCAUUCAUGGCCAAUAACUGCUGGUAGAUGGAUCAAUACCUUCCAGUGAAGCCCAGUCUCAGAAGAUGAGACUGAGUCAAAUGCUUUAUUUUAUUUUUACAUUUAUAUCCCUCUCUUCCUCCAAGGAACCCAGAGCAGUGUACAUGGUUAUGUUUAUCCUCACAACAAGCCUCUGAGGUAGGUUAGGCUGAGAGAUACAUGACUGGCCCAGAGUCACCCCGUGCGUUUUAUGGCUGAAUGGGGAUUUGAACUCAGGUCCCCCCAGUCCUCAUCCAACACUCUAACCAUUACACCAUACAGCUCUCCAGGGCCUCAGAUGUGGGUUCCAAAGAUCAUUUUAGUUGGAAACACCAGGGGAAUUGAACCUGGUACUCUCUGCAUGCAAAAUGUUUGCUUCAUCACUGAGUUGUGGCCCCCAAGCAGCAAACAUGGGACAUAUGGACUGAGUCAGGCCAUUGGUCCAUCUAGCCCAGUAGUGUCUACUCUGACUGGCACCAGCUCUCCAGGGUUUCAGAACCUUUAACUGGAGAUGCCCAGGAUUGUACCUGGCACCAUCUGCAUUCAAAGCAUGUGCUCUACCACUGAGCAAUGGCCCCUUCCUAAGUUUCUUGGAGGCUCAGUUCAGUUGCUGUAAAAGCCUCAAUGUGGAGUGACACUGUGGAUGCAACCUCAUGCCUUAGUGCUAUCAUGUCACUGCCAUGUGUUGACAUACAUAAAUGUAGUGGACCAUUUUUCCUCACUUCAUUCAUGUGGGUCACAUCUGAGAAGCUAAUGGCUGUCCACAGUUCUGUGGUGAGUCAGAACUUCCAUCAUGUGGCUGCAUCCACAGUAAUGUUCCAUGUGAAAGCUUUGCAAACUCAGGCCCAAAUAACAACAGGACACACGUAGUUGGAAAAACUAGGGCCACAUUAUUUAAUAUUUGCAAAACCUGUAAUGAGGAAUAUUAACUAUAGUGCAGGUAUUCCCUAUGCGGGUCAAUCUCAUAGGAGGUCUGCCCACAGGAGGAGGGCGAAGGACCGGGCUUUGAUUUGGCUCGGUAUCCAGUCCGAACCUCUUCUCUACCAUGAAGUCACCCCCGUCAAGGGGAUGCAUGCCAGCCCACCUCAACCCAGGUCACUAGGCACUGAGCGGUGUUCUCUGGCAUGCAUCCGAGUGGGAGCAGAUCCAGCUUGAGAGUCACGAGAUCACCAAGCCUUCCUCCAUAUUCCCACUCACCAUAACGGCCCUCCAGCCCAACACCAAUGUAAAUUAACCUACCCCCUGACCUGCACUCAUCCGCAAAGUGACCAAUUAACCCCAGGGACUACCUUAACAAAAUCAGUGAGUAGCAGGCAAAAAAAGGCCCCAACAUUAGCCAAUCAGGUGAGAGACCAAAAAAAUUCCUACUUGGCCCCAAUGGCGAUGAGAAUAUCCCUCACUGAGUCCAUGGGCAGGCAAGGGGGUGCCAGCUCAUUGCAAAUGAAAGACAGAGCAAAAGAGCCAACUGCUUACGCAGUUGUGUGUGACUGGUCCACCAGUGUCAUGUGCUGGCGGACUAAAAUGGCAGCCCACAUGCCUGUCUCUCAGGCCGGGCCCACAAUUCCACCACCACCACCACCACCCCGCUUAUCCCAUAUCUCCGCUAACACAGUAAAAGGGUGGCGGGAGUGGCUUUUAGAGCAGCUGAAGAAAUGGGCUCCAAGUCUUUUAAAGGAAGCAUGGGAUAUAAAUAUAUAAAAUUUGAGAGGAAGCAUCAGUUCAUUUGUGGAUCUGACUUCAGGCUUCUCAUGUGAAUGUGGGCUCAAGACCACAGAGGAAAAGAGCCGCCUGAGAUCCUUGCUUCAUCUGGUCUUGUGCUGUCUGCUCUGAUUAACAGCACUUCCCCGAGGUAUUGGGCAUGAGGUCCUUUGCAGUCAUGCCACCUGAAAAGUCAGGAAUUGAAUCUGGGACCUUCUCCAAGGAUGCGGAGGAACGAUCAGAGGAAGUUGGGAGAAACCGGACGUUCUCUUUUAAAUUUCAUUUUGGAGAAAUUUUGGCUCCAUCCCUACCUUCUAGUGGAUGGAAGGAUGGAGCCUCAGGAUGGCCAACCUGAGGCUCCCCAGCUGUUGCUGGACUACAACUCCCAUCACCCCCAGCUGCAAUUUACUGCAUCUAGGGAUGAUGGAAGUCGUAGCCCAACAAGAGCUGGGGAGCCUCAGUUUGGCCUGACUGGGCCUCCAUAAACAGCCUGUGCUUUGCGACUGAGCUAUGGCCCUUCCCCAAAGUACGGCUCACCUGCCACAUGGUGGACUGAAGGGUGUGUGAUAUAUGGCUUCCAUUGCUCACCAUCGAGGAAUCUGUAGGAACUUCCUGCCAUGUUUUGUGGCAGAAUCAUCUCCUUUGAAUGCAGAGAACAAUUCUCAGAUUGUGCAUGGCUGAACAUAUCACCUCAGCAUCCUCAAUGACGAGAGUUGCCACCAAAACCACAACACAUUUCAUGUUACUGUAGUAUUAAUUGCUGUGUAGCUUAACUCUCUUCAUCCUUAAAUCCUCCCCCAUGCUGUUUUCUCUCUUUUCUUCCGCUGGCUCCCUCACCUUCCCUCCUCCCUCUUGCCUGUAUGAGUUAAUCUGUUGGCUACACUCUCAGCUUUUUCUUUCUCUCUCUCUCCCUUUUUUUCUCCCUUCCCUUUAGCUUCUGGUUUCAUUUUCAGAUGACAAAAUUCAAGGCACAGCUCGGCUGUCUGGUUGCCACGGUAACCACAGCCCUAUUAUCGUACCUUGUCAUUCAUCAAGAAAGAAUUGUGUUUGACAGAGAGAGACGAAAAAUGCCUGCAGUCUGGUGUGUGUGUGUGUGUGUAUUCUUUACAAAGAUGAAAAACUGUUUUCUUCCAAAUAUGGUUUUUUUAAAAAACACAAAACUUUAAUGCGCGUUUUAUUGAAUGUCUGAUAUUUCUAAGUUUGAUCACCAAUGCAUUAUGCAUUCACCUUGAACAUGUAGCAUUUUGCAUGCUUGUUUGCUUUACAUAUACUCCCUCUCUGCCCACUGCUACCAUGAAAUCUAGGAUUCAUAUUAUCCAAAGGAAAUGGCAUAUGAUCAACUAUUUUUCUUCUUCAUGUGGAAUGCACCAUGCGGCCACCUGUAAUGCUGUCUGACUUUCUCCAAUUAUCUCUAGGGUAUAUAAUGUAGAUCUAUAACUGAGCCACAGACCAGGACUUUCCCAGUCCAGAUCUCACCUCUGCUGUGAAGUCACUAGGCGGUCUGUAAGCCUCACCCUUCCCAUCUACAAUAUCAGAAUCAUAACAACUUAUCUCACAGGGUAGUUAUAAGGAUUACAUCAAUAUAAUAUAGAUAAUAUAGAUGAAGCACUUUGAGCACUCAAAAAACAUUACACAAAUGCUAAGUUGCCUUGAACAAUCAUUCCAGCACAUACCUGCUGCUACCCAAUACAUGAUCAAAUUUGAUUUCAAAUUAAAUUAAUUCUGCCACAUACGUCAUGCCUCUGGAAUAGACUGCCAUGGACAAAGGAGCAGGAUAUGCAUUUACGGAAGUGUGCUGCACAAUAAAUUGACAAUAUUUCAGCCCACUGCCAACACCCUUUCCUGAAGUUGGACCAGACCCAAAUUCAUUGUUCCCGACAGGCAGGAGGGACAUAAUUACUUAUCACUUUGCAUGUCCUUGUGUGCAGGAGCUUCAAUUAAUUCCCAAAGUAUACAGCUCAACGAGUGUUUGCAGCUCAUGUGAAGUUCCCUUUUUCAGCCUUACAGUGAUCUAGAAUCUAUAUCAGUUUCGGUAGACCUAAGGAUAUGCUACUUGCUUUGUGGUUUGACGAUAGAUUGCUUGAUAGAUAGGGGAAUGUAUAUCUCCCUUUCUCCCCAAAGGUCUCAAAGCAGCUCACAAAUUUAUCACAAAAAAACUUUCAGCUAUGGAAAACAUGAACCAAAGCAAUGCAGCAGCAAAAACAACAACACUUUUUGAAAAAGCCACAGCCAAUAGAUUGGGGUGGGGUGAGGGUGGAGAUAAAACAACCAAAAGACUGAUCAGUAACAUCAAAUGUUUUCAUGACACAGAAUCAGUGAUAUAGUUGCAAAUUCAGAAGUGUAGGUGCUCUUCAUGACGGCCCCCAUGGCAAUCCCCAUCCUAACAGCCAGAGAAGCCGAGAAGUAUUGGCUCUCCGGCCCAGCGCAUCCCUCCUCCAUGACACCCCUGCACAGAAUCACACAAUCUGAACUUGAACCCAAUAACUAGUUCAGAGAGAAUUAUUCAGUGAACCAGAGCUGAACCUGAAUCUAAAAUAUCUGUGUUGCCUUGAACAGAAUUGAAACCUCUACACACAAAAAGUGGUAAGCAGUUGAAAGCCGGUUCAGUAAUUAGGAACUCAGCUCUCCCAUUGUAUGGUGAUUAAUGUUUGUAAUCAUUCAAUUUCCAUAGUAUGAUCUGUUUUUCCAGGGUUUUAUCCUGUUUUGUGUAUUUUUCUUUGUUUAAACCCACCCUUUAAAAUAUUCAAAAGCAGUUUAUAAAUAGUUUUCUCAA